UACCUUACUACUUGGAUAACCGUGGUAAUUCUAGAGCUAAUACAUGCUGAAAAUCCCGACUCCGGAAGGGAUGUAUUUAUUAGAUUCAAAGCCAAUGCCCCCUGGGCUCACUGGUGAUUCAUGAUAACUCCUCGAAUCGCACGGCCUUGCGCCGGCGAUGGUUCAUUCAAAUUUCUUCCCUAUCAACUUUCGAUGUUUGGGUAGUGGCCAAACAUGGUUGCAACGGGUAACGGAGGGUUAGGGCUCGACCCCGGAGAAGGAGCCUGAGAAACGGCUACUACAUCCAAGGAAGGCAGCAGGCGCGCAAAUUACCCAAUCCCGACACGGGGAGGUAGUGACAAUAAAUACUGAUACAGGGCUCUUUCGGGUCUUGUAAUUGGAAUGAGUACAAUUUAAAUCCCUUAACGAGGAACAAUUGGAGGGCAAGUCUGGUGCCAGCAGCCGCGGUAAUUCCAGCUCCAAUAGCGUAUAUUAAAGUUGUUGCAGUUAAAAAGCUCGUAGUUGAACCUUGGGCCUGGCUGGCCGGUCCGCCUCACCGCGUGCACUGGUUCGGCCGGGCCUUUCCCUCUGGGGAACCCCAUGCCCUUCACUGGGUGUGNGGGGGAACCAGGACUUUUACUGUGAAAAAAUUAGAGUGUUCAAAGCAGGCCUAUGCUCGAAUACAUUAGCAUGGAAUAAUAGAAUAGGACGUGUGGUUCUAUUUUGUUGGUUUCUAGGACCACCGUAAUGAUUAAUAGGGACAGUCGGGGGCAUCAGUAUUCCGUUGUCAGAGGUGAAAUUCUUGGAUUUACGGAAGACUAACUACUGCGAAAGCAUUUGCCAAGGAUGUUUUCAUUAAUCAGGAACGAAAGUUAGGGGAUCGAAGACGAUCAGAUACCGUCGUAGUCUUAACCAUAAACUAUGCCGACUAGGGAUCGG
rnacentral:rRNA from 1 species